rnacentral:snoRNA from 1 species
CAGCUGCUGCCUGUGAUUACAUUUUGCUGUCUGAAACAGUUGUGUGGAUUUUCUCUCAGCAUUCGUCACUACCACUGAGGCAGUAGAUUG